rnacentral:rRNA from 1 species
ACGGCUCAGUAACACGUAGUCAACAUGCCCAGGGGACGUGGAUAACCUCGGGAAACUGAGGAUAAACCGCGAUAAGUCACUACUUCUGGAAUGGGUAAUGACUCAAAUCUACAUGGCCCCUGGAUUGGACUGCGGCCGAUCAGGCUGUUGGUGAGGUAAUGGCCCACCAAACCUGUAACCGGUACGGGCUCUGAGAGGAGGAGCCCGGAGAUGGGCACUGAGACAAGGGCCCAGGCCCUAUGGGGCGCAGCAGGCGCGAAACCUCUGCAAUAGGCGAAAGCCUGACAGGGUUACUCUGAGUGAUUUCCGUUAAGGAGAUCUUUUGGCACCUCUAAAAAUGGUGCAGAAUAAGGGGUGGGCAAGUCUGGUGUCAGCCGCCGCGGUAAUACCAGCACCCCGAGUGGUCGGGACGUUUAUUGGGCCUAAAGCAUCCGUAGCCGGUUCUACAAGUCUUCCGUUAAAUCCACCUGCUUAACAGAUGGGCUGCGGAAGAUACUAUAGAGCUAGGAGGCGGGAGAGGCAAGCGGUACUCGAUGGGUAGGGGUAAAAUCCGUUGAUCCAUUGAAGACCACCAGUGGCGAAGGCGGCUUGCCAGAACGCGCUCGACGGUGAGGGAUGAAAGCUGGGGGAGCAAACCGGAUUAGAUACCCGGGUAGUCCCAGCUGUAAACGAUGCAGACUCGGUGAUGAAUUGGCUUUAUGCCAAUUCAGUGCCGCAGGGAAGCCGUUAAGUUUGCCGCCUGGGGAGUACGGUCGCAAGACUGAAACUUAAAGGAAUUGGCGGGGGAGCAC